rnacentral:lncRNA from 1 species
CACACCGACCUUCCCCUCCAGCUCCUGCACCAACUCCGUACACCAAAGCGCUUCCAGCCGCCCGCACCACCCCGCACACAGCCGCCCGACGCGUGAUUACUACGAUUUCCAUUCACAACCGAACGGACACGUGCUUUUGCACAGGUGCGCUCUCGCAGAAACACGGUGUAAAUAAAACAGAGGACGACAACAGCGCACCGACGGAACGGAGCGGCGCCGGGCUCGCACCCCCCCGCCCCGCGCCGACCCCCGCCGCUCGCUGCCGGCUCCCGGUUCCCCGCUGCUUACCGUUCCCGAGCCGGAGCCCGGCGCACGCCGCAGCUCCUCGGGCGGUUCGCGUCCUCAUCGCGGCGGAGCGGAGCGGUUCGGAGCCGGCGGUUGCGCGCCUCCUGCCCGGGAGCGCCGAACAGCGCUGCCCCCGCCCCGCAGCUCCGCGCCCGCGGACAACGCCCGCCCCGGCCCCGCCCAGCCCCGGCCCCGCGGUGGAAAGUUGCGCCCGUCCCGGGGUUGGGAGCCGCUAACCCCCGACCCGGGCGGGGUCAGCCACCCGGCACGUCCCGGGCCGCUCUCCCGACGCGCAUCUUCCGACGUGGUUGGUGGCUGAGCGCUUUGGUCGGGCAAAUCCCCCCCCCGCCCGGGCUCGGCCGAGAUGCUUCGUUUCGCCGCGUCGUGGCUUUUCAAGCCGACUUCGAGGGAGAGAUUUGGCGGUGAGAAUCUGUCCCGGGACUCGGUCUGGGCAGAGGUGGGUGCUCCGCAUCGGGAUCCUCACGGUCCCACUGCAGAAACGGACGGAGCGCAGAAGCGGGAUCGGAGCGGCCCCGUCUCCAGGCACGCUCACCUCCCGCACCUGGAUCUGAAUUGGGCCGUUUUAGGGGGAACACGGAUCUCAAGCUGCGCGCCGCGGCUUGUGCGUGCUGCGCUGAGUGCAAAUCCUCCCUCGGACAGUGCCCGCAAAGCUCUCGUGCAGGCACGAGGCCGGGCCGGGCGGCUCAGGGGGAUGCUCUCCGCGCUGGGAGCACCGCUGAUGCCCUCCAGCUCCGGCUCCGCACGGCACCACGGUCCCCUCUUCCCUCUGUGUUUGUGCACGGGCUCCACGCUGUGCCCUAAGAACCCCGCAAGCAGCCGUGCUGGUGCGGACAGCUCACAAACUGAAACCAAAUGUAUGGGGCUGGGAGACAGAGUACAGAAAAGUUCACAGACAUCCUGUCACAGACUCACAGAAUGGCUUGGGUUGGAAGGGACCUUAAAACCCAUCCAGUUCCACCCCCUGCCGUGGGCUGGCUGCCCCCCACCAGCUCAGGCUGCCCAGGGUUCCAUCCCACCUGGCCUUGGGCACCUCCAGGGAUGGGGCACCCACAGCUCUGGGCAGCAGUGCCAGUGCCUCACCACCCUCUGA